GUACAGUGGACCUCUCAGCCGUCAAAGUCAGGGGACUCAAAAUCCCCCGCCGCAAGGCGUGCCGGUUCGAUUCCGGCCCUGGGCACCA
rnacentral:tRNA from 1 species